GAAAGAGUGUCCGAGUGGUUAGGGAGGUAGAUCAGAAUUUCACGGGGCUCUGGCCGCGCAGGUUCGACUCCUGUCGAUCUCG